CGCAUCUGUGCAUGCAGCAUAUCAAUAAGCGGAGGAAAAGAAACUAACAAGGAUUCCCUUAGUAACGGCGAGUGAAGCGGGAAGAGCCUCAAAUUUGAAAUCUUCAAGGUUUUACCUUGACGAACUUGUAGUUUAAAGAAGUGUUUUCUGUUGAAGUUUUGGUAAAAGUUCUUUGGAAUAGGACAUCAUAGAGGGUGAGAAUCCCGUAUUUGACCAUUAUUUUCAGCUGUGUGAUACACUUUCAAAGAGUCGGAUUGUUUGGGAAUGCAGUCCAAAAUGGGUGGUAAAUUUCAUCUAAAGCUAAAUAUUGGCGAGAGACCGAUAGCGAACAAGUACCGUGAGGGAAAGAUGAAAAGAACUUUGAAAGAGAGUUAAACAGUACGUGAAAUUGUCAAAAGGGAAGCGUUUGACACCAGUGUUGUUUUCUCGAAGAUCAAUUAAAAAGAGUUAGAUUUUGUUGUGUAUUGACCUUAACAGCUUGCAUUUCAAUUUUCUUGCUUUUUUUAAUGCACUUUUCGUUUAACAAGUCAACAUCAGUUUCUUUUGUUGUAAAAAGGUCAUUGGAAGGUGGCUUUCUUUUCGGAGAAAGUGUUUAUAGCCUUAGACUCCUGCAAUCGGAGAGACUGAGGUCUGCAGCGUAGAUCCUUCGGGGUUAGAUACAUUUGUGCUAAGUUAUAGCUUUUUAUAGACAACUUGUUGACUAUGAUUAGUCUUGUAGCUUACUCGCUUAUGCUAUUUUACCUACGCUUAGGAUGUUGAUGUGAUACUGCGAGCA
rnacentral:rRNA from 1 species